GACCUCCCAACCAAGCCCUCCAGCAAGGAUUCAGGUUGUUGAGUGCUUGGGAGGGACACCCGCCUCCACUCUGCAAGAACUCAUAAAGGGAGAUGAGGGGAUCGUGGGAGGGAGGGAGGAGGGUGCCACUGAUCCCCUGAACCCCUGCCUCCGCCUCCAGGGUGCCCCUCCGGCCUCGCCAUGAGGCUCUUCCUGUCGCUCCCGGUCCUGGUGGUGGUUCUGUCGAUCGUCUUGGAAGGGAUUGGUUUUCAGAGACAUUUCGGAAAGUGAAGGAGAAACUCAAGACUGACUCAUGAGGACCUGAAGGGUGACAUCCCAGGAGGGGCCUCUGAAAUUUCCAACACCCCAGCGCCUGUACUGAGGACGCCCUCCAUGUGUGUCCAAUGUGGUCACACGCCCAGGUGUGACCAAUAAAAAUCCUAUGGAAAAUUCUCU
ensembl:lncRNA APOC1P1 apolipoprotein C1 pseudogene 1